AACGAACGCUGGCGGCGUGCUUAACACAUGCAAGUCGAACGGAAAGGCCCUUCGGGUACUCGAGUGGCGAACGGGUGAGUAACACGUGGGUGAUCUGCCCUGCACUUUGGGAUAAGCCUGGGAAACUGGGUCUAAUACCGAAUAGGACCACGGCCUUCAUGGGUUGGGGUGGAAAGCUUUUGCGGUGUGGGAUGGGCCCGCGGCCUAUCAGCUUGUUGGUGGGGUAAUGGCCUACCAAGGCGACGACGGGUAGCCGGCCUGAGAGGGUGACCGGCCACACUGGGACUGAGAUACGGCCCAGACUCCUACGGGAGGCAGCAGUGGGGAAUAUUGCACAAUGGGCGCAAGCCUGAUGCAGCGACGCCGCGUGAGGGAUGACGGCCUUCGGGUUGUAAACCUCUUUCAGCAGGGACGAAGCGCAAGUGACGGUACCUGUAGAAGAAGGACCGGCCAACUACGUGCCAGCCGCCGCCGUAAAAC
rnacentral:rRNA from 1 species